GCGGGUGUGGUGGAAUUGGUAGACGCGCCGGACUCAAAAUCCGGUUCCGCAAGGAGUGUCGGUUCGACCCCGACCACCCGCACCA
rnacentral:tRNA from 6 species